GACGUAGGGCGCGAGCGUUGUCCGGAUUUAUUGGGCGUAAAGAGCUCGUAGGCGGCUUGUCGCGUCGUCCGUGAAAACUUGGGGCUCAACUCCAAGCUUGCGGUCGAUACGGGCAGGCUCGAGUUCGGUAGGGGAGACUGGAAUUCCUGGUGUAGCGGUGAAAUGCGCAGAUAUCAGGAGGAACACCGGUGGCGAAGGCGGAUCUCUGGGCCUUACCUGACGCUCAGGCGCGAAAGCUAGGGGAGCGAACAGG
rnacentral:rRNA from 1 species